GUGGGGGAUAAGGUCUUCGGAUUGUAAACCCCUGUCAUGUGGGACAUUAAAAAGAUAGUACCACAAGAGGAAGAGACGGCUAACUCUGUGCCAGCAGCCGCGGUAAUACAGAGGUCUCAAGCGUUGUUCGGAAUCACUGGGCGUAAAGCGUGCGUAGGCUGUUUCGUAAGUCGUGUGUGAAAGGCGCGGGCUCAACCCGCGGACGGCACAUGAUACUGCGAGACUAGAGUAAUGGAGGGGGAACCGGAAUUCUCGGUGUAGCAGUGAAAUGCGUAGAUAUCGAGAGGAACACUCGUGGCGAAGGCGGGUUCCUGGACAUUAACUGACGCUGAGGCACGAAGGCCAGGGGAGCGAAAGGGAUUAGAUACCCCUGUAGUCCUGGCAGUAAACGGUGCACGCUUGGUGUGCGGAGAUCGACCCUGCGUGCCGGAGCUAACGCGUUAAGCGUGCCGCCUGGGGAGUACGGUCGCAAGAUUAAAACUCCAAGAAAUUGACGGGGACCCGCACAAGCGGUGGAGUAUGUGG
rnacentral:rRNA from 1 species